rnacentral:rRNA from 1 species
CACUUUCAGUGGGGAGAAAGAGGCCAUUAAUAAUACUAAUGGCGGAUGAUGUUACCCACAGAAGAAGCACCGGCUAACUCUGUGC